rnacentral:tRNA from 1 species
GGUGACGAUGGCCCAGGGCGGCUCAACCCUGGGGCGGGUGGGACCGUAGGGACGGGUGUGACCGGCAGCUCAGCCGGCUCGUCGCCU